rnacentral:rRNA from 1 species
ACAAGCGUGGAGCAUGUGGUUUAAUUCGACGCAACGCGAAGAACUUACCAGGAAUUGACAUCCCCUGACAACUUAUGAAAGUAGGUCUUCUACCUUCGGGUAGGACAGGGAGGACAGGUGGUGCAUGGUUGUCGUCAGCUCGUGUCGUGAGAUGUUGGGUUAAGUCCCGCAACGAGCGCAACCCUUACGGUUAGUUGCCAGCGGUUAAAGCCGGGCACUCUAGCUGAACUGCCGUUGACAAACGGAGGAAGGUGGGGAUGACGUCAAAUCAUCAUGCCCUUUAUAUCCUGGGCUACACACGUGCUACAAUGGCCUGUACAGAGGGCAGCGAAGGGGCAACCUGGAGCGAAUCCCAAAAAGCAGGUCUCAGUUCGGAUUGCAGGCUGCAACUCGCCUGCAUGAAGUCGGAAUCGCUAGUAAUCGCAGGUCAGCAUACUGCGGUGAAUACGUUCCCGGGCCUU